rnacentral:sRNA from 1 species
UUUGAUGAUGACAUUUUCUUGGACCUGAC